UACAGAGGGUGCAAGCGUUGCUCGGAAUCACUGGGCGUAAAGGGUGCGUAGGCGGGUCUUUAAGUCAGGGGUGAAAUCCUGGAGCUCAACUCCAGAACUGCCUUUGAUACUGAGGAUCUUGAGUUCGGGAGAGGUGAGUGGAACUGCGAGUGUAGAGGUGAAAAUUCGUAGAUAUUCGGCGGAACACCAGUGGCGAAGGCGACUCACUGGACCGGUAUUGACGCUGAGGUGCGAAAGCGAUGGGGAGCAAACUAGG
rnacentral:rRNA from 1 species